rnacentral:misc_RNA from 1 species
GUGCGCUUCUCAAUUUUCCAAUUUCCUCUGCCUUCACAUUGUGAAUUUGUGAGUAAUGCUUGAUGCUGGAAUUCUCUCUUCUCCUUAUUUUCUUCCCUAGUCUCAAACAUUGUAAUCUUAAUGCCCAGAGAUGGUGAGGUAUGGGAAUUCCAUGGACAGCAUAGCCAUAAUGGUUUUGGAAUGCCCAUCUACCAUUUGGGCUGGAGGUCAUGGUUGGUAUUUACUGGUUAUUUUUGUUAUUCAGUAUUGAUUACUUGUCAUGUGAAUGCAGGCGAGCUAGCGUCUGGAAGUUGGAACUCUACAGUAUAUUUCAA